GCACAAGCAUAACAAUUGUUUUUGUUUAACAUGCAGAUGGAAUAUUUGAUCCAUUUUAACCAGGCAUUUGCAUCUUGGUAUCCUGUUUUAAUUGCUUAAGUUUGUUUUAAGUCUUUAACUUCUAUGAUCCUCUAGUAAAAUGAAUGUAUGGUUUUAGGAAAUUACAAAAACCGGUUGGAGCAGUCCAUCCUUGCUCUGUAGUGGUCCACAGAACGUUGGACCAACUAUGGCAUGAAAGUUCUACAUCGGGGGGCAAGACUCCUGGUUGGCACCAGGAUUUUAUCAAAAUCUCCCCAGAUUAAAUGGUCCUAGUUUACUAAUGCCCAGUCUGAGGAGAGUCAUGAGGGACAGAAGUACUUUUCUGAAGUAGAAAGCUGCUUUGACUUGGCAAGUCCCCACAGGGUAUAAUAAGGCAAGCAUUAAAUGCAAUAGUUUGAGGUGAAAUUGACUUGAUUAUGUUACUAACUAGAUGCUUAGCAAUAGAACGAUGAAAGAGAAAUAGAAUAGAUGAAAAGAGUUAAAUUUUUCUUAGCUUUAGUUUGGUAGGGUUUUCCCCUGGGACUAUGGCCCACGACUCUGGAGGGGGUGGCGCUUUCUUGACUCGGGUGUGAUGAGUCCAUCUUUUUUCUGCUAUACGAACAGAAGUCUUGGUGGUUAGCAGCACAAGAGUCUCUCUCUUAUCGCCCAGGCUGGAGUGCAAUGGCGCGAUCUCAGCACACUGCAACCUCUUCCUCCUGGAUUCAUGCAAUUCUCCUGCCUCAGCCUCCCGAGUAGCUGAGAUUACAGGAAUGCACCACCACAUCUGGCUGAUUUUUGUAUUUUUAGUAAAGACGGUAUUUCACCAUGUUGGCCAGGCUGGUCUUGAGCUCCUCCCCUGAGGUGAUCCGUCUGCUUCAGCCUCCCAAAGUGCUGAGAUUACAGAGGUGAGCCACCAG
rnacentral:lncRNA from 10 species